rnacentral:rRNA from 1 species
AUAAUCUACCCCAGUAAUCCGGGAUAACAUCUCGAAAGAGAUGCUAAUACCUGAUAAGCCCACGAUCUCUUCGGAGAACGAGGGAAAAGGUGGGGACCUUCGGGCCUGCCGUUGCUGGAUGAGUCCGCGGCCCAUUAGCUAGUUGGUAGGGUAAUGGCCUACCAAGGCUACGAUGGGUAGCUGGUCUGAGAGGAUGAUCAGCCACACUGGAACUGAGACACGGUCCAG